GCUUAACCGGAGAAGUGCAUCGGAAACUGGGAGACUUGAGUGCAGAAGAGGACAGUGGAACUCCAUGUGUAGCGGUGGAAUGCGUAGAUAUAUGGAAGAACACCAGUGGCGAAGGCGGCUGUCUAGUCUGUAACUGACGCUGAGGCUCGAAAGCAUGGGUAGCGAACAGGAUUAGAUACCCUGGUAGUCCAUGCCGUAAACGAUGAGUGCUAAGUGUUGGAGGGUUUCCGCCCUUCAGUGCUGCAGCUAACGCAUUAAGCACUCCGCCUGGGGAGUACGACCGCAAGGUUGAAACUCAAAGGAAUUGACGGGGGCCCGCACAAGCGGCGGAGCAUGUGGUUUAAUUCGAAGCUACGCGAAGAACCUUACCAGGUCUUGACAUCUUCUGCCAAUCUUAGAGAUAAGACGUUCCCUUCGGGGACAGAAUGACAGGUGGUGCAUGGUUGUCGUCAGCUCGUGUCGUGAGAUGUUGGGUUAAGUCCCGCAACGAGCGCAACCCUUAUUAUCAGUUGCCAGCAUUCAGUUGGGCACUCUGGUGAGACUGCCGGUGACAAACCGGAGGAAGGUGGGGAUGACGUCAAAUCAUCAUGCCCCUUAUGACCUGGGCUACACACGUGCUACAAUGGACGGUACAACG
rnacentral:rRNA from 1 species